UUCGUAGGCGGUGCGGCAAGUUGGGAGUGAAAUCUCUGGGCUUAACUCAGAGGCUGCUUCCAAAACUGCCGUGCUCGAGUGUGGGAGAGGCGCGUGGAAUUGCAGGUGUAGCGGUGAAAUGCGUAGAUAUCUGCAGGAACACCCGUGGCGAAAGCGGCGCGCUGGACCACAACUGACGCUGAGGAACGAAAGCUAGGGGAGCAAACAGGAUUAGAUACCCUGGUAGUCCUAGCCCUAAACGAUCAGGACUUGGGGUGCCGCCCGUUCGGGCGUCGUCCCGGAGCUAACGCGUUAAGUCCUGCACCUGGGGAGUACGGUCGCAAGACUGAA
rnacentral:rRNA from 1 species